UUUAAACAAAUAUUCUCUGUUAAGAUUUCUUUGGUAUUGAAAAUGGACAACAUCAGUCUAUGAUUUCAUCUAGCCCCAGUAGCCCCCAAUAUAAACUUUAAACAACAAUAAAUAUGUUGAUAUUUAUAUAUAAACAUAAAAAAGUUUCAUAUGGACCAACAUUUCUACCAAAUUUUAAUGUUCACUUCAUGGUUGAUUUUACCCUCCAUAUGAGGUCUUAUAUGUUCUAAAAUCUCUCUAAGUCCAUAUAGAGAUUCGAUGAAAACUACAACAGAACAAUUUGAACUGUUGUGUACUGAAUUAAAAAAAUUCCCGAAAGUUGAAUGCAAUUGGUCCCCCCUCCAGAGAAGUCGUAGAAUGGAAAAAAUUAAAUAUUUUGUUAUAAUAUUUAAAUAUUUUCAGAUUUGGUCGGAUUUAAGGGGCAGAACAAAAAUGAAAAUUGCUGCAAAUAACAACCAGCAUUGCCAUCAGGCAUAUCACAUUCAAAAUUGUGCUGUAUAUCAACAUCUUUAGGGAGAUCGUCAUUAUAGUCAAUACAAGCAUUAUGUACUGCGCAGCACA